CCUACGGGUGGCAGCAGUGGGGAAUAUUGCGCAAUGGGCGAAAGCCUGACGCAGCGACGCCGCGUGAGGGAUGAAGGUCUUCGGAUCGUAAACCUCUGUCAGCAGGGAAGAACAGUCACUGUGCUAAUCAGCAGUGAAUUGACGGUACCUGCAAGGGAAGCACAGGCUAACUCCGUGCCAGCAGCCGCGAUAAUACGGAGGGUGCGAGCGUUAAUCGGAAUUACUGGGCGUAAGGGGCUCGUAGGCGGUAUGUCAAGUCAAGGGUGAAAUCCCCGGGCUCAACGUGGGAACUGCCUUUGAAACUGGUAAACUGGAGUGUGUGAGAGGAAAGUGGAAUUCCAGGUGUAGGAGUGAAAUCCGUAGAGAUCUGAAGGAACACCAGUGGCGAAGGCGACUAUCUGGCACAUAACUGACGCUGAGGAGCGAAAGCGUGGGGAGCAAACAGGAUUAGAUACCCCAGUAGUC
rnacentral:rRNA from 1 species